UCACAAUGAAAAACCACUAAUUUCUAGCAUAUAUAUUUGUUUCUUUCAACAUGUUUUCUUUAAUUUGCUUUCAAUGUAAUAUUUAGGAGCAGUCAAAUAACGAGAAGCUGGAAGAAAUCUCCAAACAGUACGAGAAAACACAUAAAGAUCUGUGUGCAAAGGAAAAAAUAAUUGAAGAUAUGCGGAUGACAUUAGAAGAACAAGAACAGACUCAGAUGGAACAAGAUCAAGUGCUUGAAGCCAAAUUAGAAGAGACCAACAGAUUAGUUUUAGAACUGGAAGCGUGGAAGCAGAAAUACAGAGAGCUGAAUAACCAGAGCAAUACUGACUGGCAGCAAAAGAUAAGCAAAAAUGAGAAAACCAUAAAUGAAAAUGAGGAAUUAAUGAAGCUGCAAAAAGAACUGAAGGUAAAAUAUAACACGUAAUUCAUACAUAGUUUUAGAACUAUAACUUCCCUUUAGGAGUCUAAAUUUUUUUUGCAUCGGUAU
rnacentral:lncRNA from 1 species